GCGAUAAUGGCUCAGUGGUUAAAAGCGUUGCCUUCAAAGCAGAAGGCUUCGGGUUCGAUCCCAAUAAUCACA